rnacentral:lncRNA from 1 species
CACUGUUUUAUUUGGUCUCUGGUGUUACGGCCAGAAAUUACCUUUGAAUUGUAGCCAACAAAAGACACAAAUCAAUAAUAAAAUUUAACAAUAUUUAUUAUACAAAAGUUUACAAGAAGUAUUACACAAAUAUUACUGUCAACUUAACUGUCAAAAUAUGAGUCCAAUCUUUUAUCUUUAUCUGUAUCCAGUUAUCUUUCGGAAUCCAAUCUGAAUAUUACGGUCACAAUCCAGUAUGAUGUUGUUUGUAGAAUAAAAGUGUCAAUCCAAAUGCUAUGAAUAUUAAUGUCUAUCGAUGUCUAAGUCCAAGUCCAAGAGUAAGUCCUAGAGUGAGUUUAACUUUAUUGUCUGUAUAUAUAUAUAUUUGUCAUGGAAGAUUCUAGAACAGUCUAUAAUGGAACAUCCUAGAAAGUUACAACAGAAGUUUCUAGUAAAAUGUAGAAGUUUAUAUAAUGCAUCUUUUAUUAGGAUCAUUCUGGAAAGUUCCAAUCAUUCUGUAAUUGUUCCAGAGAUUUCUAAACUGCACAGUUCUAAGAUUAUUCCGUAAACAACUAUCAGGCCACACAACACAAAUCAGGCCAGCAUAAAUAAAUACAAUAAUGACAAUAUCAUAACACUG